rnacentral:rRNA from 1 species
CCCAGACUCCUACGGGAGGCAGCAGUGGGGAAUAUUGCACAAUGGGGGAAACCCUGAUGCAGCGACGCCGCGUGAGUGAAGAAGUAUUUCGGUAUGUAAAGCUCUAUCAGCAGGGAAGAAAAUGACGGUACCUGACUAAGAAGCCCCGGCUAACUACGUGCCAGCAGCCGCGGUAAUACGUAGGGGGCAAGCGUUAUCCGGAUUUACUGGGUGUAAAGGGAGCGUAGACGGCAUGGCAAGUCAGAUGUGAAAGCCCGGGGCUCAACCGCGGGACUGCAUUUGAAACUGUCAGGCUUGAGUGCAGGAGAGGUAAGUGGAAUUCCUAGUGUAGCGGUGAAAUGCGUAGAUAUUAGGAGGAACACCAGUGGCGAAGGCGGCUUACUGGACGGUAACUGACGUUGAGGCUCGAAAGCGUGGGGAGCCAACAGGAUUAGAUACCCGAGUAC